AUUGAACGCUGGCGGCAUGCCUUACACAUGCAAGUCGAACGGUAACAGGUUAAGCUGACGAGUGGCGAACGGGUGAGUAAUGUAUCGGAACGUGCCCAGUCGUGGGGGAUAACGUAGCGAAAGCUACGCUAAUACCGCAUACGAUCUACGGAUGAAUGCGGGGGAUCGCAAGACCUCGCGCGAUUGGAGCGGCCGAUAUCAGAUUAGGUUGUUGGUGAGGUAAAAGCUCACCAAGCCUGCGAUCUGUAGCUGGUCUGAGAGGACGACCAGCCACACUGGAACUGAGACACGGUCCAGACUCCUACGGGAGGCAGCAGUGGGGAAUUUUGGACAAUGGACGCAAGUCUGAUCCAGCAAUGCCGCGUGCAGGACGAAGGCCUUCGGGUUGUAAACUGCUUUUGUACGGAACGAAACGGUGAGCUCUAAUACAGUUUGCUAAUGACGGUACCGUAAGAAUAAGCACCGGCUAACUACGUGCCAGCCGCCGCAGUAA
rnacentral:rRNA from 1 species